CAAAGCUUUCAGUGCAUGCCGACCAAGCUAUGAUUUCAGAUGGAAACCAUGUAAUGUGUGGUCAUUUGUACCCCCAAACCAUGUAAAGCCUGGCAACCUGGUUGAUGUUUUGCUUUCCGUUGGAUUUGGAGAGGUUCAUAGAGAAUGAACUGCAAGUGCGGUGGUGAUGGGGAACCUCAGGACAUUUCCCUGAGGAGGUGGCUAUGAUGGUAGAACUUACAAGACUUCAGUGGACAUAAGAUAGAGCUGCUCGAGUCAGAGUCAAACCUUUUUGGAGGAGGGGAAAUCUUGGAUUGAGAGCGUGACUGAUACAGGCACCCAUCCUUGUCUCUGCUCCAGAUUACAGGAAUCUCUGGAAACAAAGAAUGAAAACCAGUUUCCAGAUUUCCAUCUUAAUUAAUCCACAAUAUCCUGACCAGUAAACUAAUCUUCCAUUAUCAAAUUUCGACCAAAGAUUGCGACUUUUCUGAAGAGGCGAGUGCUGGGUGCCUCUAGUCAACCAUGUUGAUGACGUCCUUUCUAGAAAACACCCUGAUACCUUGUGCCUGUGCUUCCAAGGUGGCUGACGCUGUGCCUGUGCUUCCGAGGUGGCUGACUUCUAACUGAGUGCAGUGGAGACCCCGUGGUGCUUUACAGAACAGAUGGCAGUGCUGCCCAAGCUCAGAACACAGCUGGACGGAUCCCCAUUUUUAAAAUGUUGCUUUUAAAGUUCCUUGGUCUAUUUUAAGUCUUAGACAAUAGAGCACUAAUUUGUGUCCACAGCUAGGGAAAAAGCACCCCAAAUACUCAUGUUAUGUCACUUUCAGUACCACAAUUCAAAUAGUGAAAGACGAUGCUUCCAUGUACCACGUAUAGGUCUCUACUAGUGAUUUUUCUCUCAUUUCAACCUAGCUUCACAUAUUUUUAUGGUAUAGCUAACUCAACAUUGAUUCUAUACAAAAUAUAUUAUCUAAGAUAGUCUUUAAAAAUAUUUGAAUUCCACUGGGAUUUGUUUAAACCCCUACACAAAUAAUUACCUCUUACUAAAAACACUGAGUUUGGCAAGUGAAAUUUUGUAAUAAGGUGAAGAUUCAAUAAAAUCUUGUCUCAAACUAAUG
rnacentral:lncRNA from 10 species